AUGCCGCCAGGAGGAGGAGGAGGAGGAGGAGGAGGAGGCGAAGGCGAACAUGGGUACGAGAAGCCGGCGGAGGCAUUGCCGCCAGGAGCAGGAGGAGGCGAGCACGGGCAUGUGUACGGGGAACCGGCGGCCGCCCACGGAGGGCAACGCCGCGACGAGGAGGAUCCAUCCCGUUCUUCCCCGCUUCCGCCGCCAUUGCUGCCCGGCCUCCCCGUCGUCUCCGUAGAGUAUGAGGAGGAGAAUAAGAAGAAGCAGAAGCACGAGCAGGCCGAGGUGAGCAUCCCCGAGGACAUCCUCAUGGAGAUCCUGUCGCGGGUGCCCUACAGGUCGCAAUGCCGCUUCAAGUGCGUGUCCAGGCCAUGGCUUACCCUCUGCUCCGACCGCGGCGCCCGCAAGAGGUCCCCGCAGACGCUCUCCGGAUUCUUCUACUUGAAUCGCGGUUUACGCUUCCACAAUUUGUCGGGGAAAGGCCCUCCGAUGGUCGACCCUGAUCUCCCUUUCUUGCGCAGCACCUAUGAAUGCUUCUAUGUCGAACAAUGCAGCACCAGCCUUCUCCUCUGCAAAUGCUUGAAAUCGCCCCAGCCUAUGCAACACGGUUGGAAUUCAUUUCCAGAAGGUGAGCCUAAUCAAAGCUUCACAAGGACCGAGGCUAAUGGCGCCGAUUAUGUUGUCUGCAACCCUGCUACCCAGGAGUGGACUUCGCUACCUCCUAUAAAAUUGGGCGACCUGGCACACGGACACCUGUACCAUUUCUCCCGACGCAAAUACUUUUUGGGUUUUGACCCAGCAGUUCCUUCCCGCUUUGUGGUAUUUGUGUCCCUGAUCCCAAAAUAUGUUGGCCUCUCCAUGACAAUGUUCUGCUCAUCAGAAACUGGGGGAUGGACUGCCAUGCAGGGUCAGCGUCAUUAUCUCAGAACACAUCGAUUUGGUGCCUUCCUGAAUGGCACUAUGCACUGGUAUACUCGUUUGUCAAUAGUCACAGUGGACAUGAAGGGGAAUGCUUGCAUGGAAAUUAAAAUGCCACCUGCCAUUAUGAAAAAUGACAGUGCUGUUCCUUUUGUUGGGCAGUCGCAGGGACGCUUGUAUGCCUCGAGUAUAGACAACCAAGAUGGUUGCCAACUCACUGUUUGGAUUCUUGAGAAUUAUGCUACUGGACAGUGGAACCUAAAGUGUACUGUUAGCUGCUUGGAACUGAUCGGACGAGAUUCUCUCAAAGAAGGUGAGUGCUACCGGACGUUUGCAAUUCAUCCGGAUUGUGAUUUGAUUUUCUUUACUGACGGUAAGGAGAAGGCAUUGUCAUAUGAUAUGACUAACCAGGAAGUGCAUGUUGUCUCUUCUUCUGGAGAUUUCCUGGGAGGUCUUCCUUACAUUCCCUGUUUUGCGGAGUGGAAAUCAGACGGUUACUAG
rnacentral:rRNA from 1 species